UCCAUUGAGGUGAGGUUCUGUUCUAUUCUGUGGUGUUGAUUCUUGAUCGCUUUGAGAUGUUUAUUGCAUCAGAUCAGUUCUGGGAUGUUUCCUUCUUUGCUGUGAUUGAGGUUUCGGUUGAAUUCUUGAUCCGAAUUGUGGAAUGGAUCCAGCAAGGUGCUGUUCAGUGGGUUGUCUAGCUCCAGCAACAGCUACCCUUCCUGGUAGCAUCACUUCUUCGUGUGGAUCAACAGAUCAGAGCUAGGAAUUAAGAGGAGUGAAUUCCAAAUAGGUUCUGUUCUGUCCUGUUUUGUGGAUUGGUUGGCUUCAGCAGUAACUCAUCUUGGUCUCGGCAGCAACAAUCCUCUUGUCCCAAUAGCCACAGUAGCUGUGGAAUUGAGGACUCUGAUUCGAGACGG